UACGGAAGGCAGCAGUGGGGAAUAUUGCACAAUGGGCGCAAGCCUGAUGCAGCCAUGCCGCGUGUAUGAAGAAGGCCUUCGGGUUGUAAAGUACUUUCAGUCGUGAGGAAGGUGUUAAGGUUAAUAACCUUAGCAAUUGACGUUAGCGACAGAAGAAGCACCGGCUAACUCCGUGCCAGCAGCCGCGGUAAUACGGAGGGUGCGAGCGUUAAUCGGAAUUACUGGGCGUAAAAGGGCACGCAGGCGGUUAAUUAAGUUGGAUGUGAAAUCCCCGGGCUUAACCUGGGAAUGGCAUUCAAGACUGGUUAGCUAGAGUCUUGUAGAGGGGGUAGAAUUCCAUGUGUAGCGGUGAAAUGCGUAGAGAUGUGGAGGAAUACCGGGUGGCGAAGGCGGCCCCUGGGACAAAGGACUGACGCUCAUGUGCGAAAGCUGGGGAGCAAACAGGGAUUAGAUACC
rnacentral:rRNA from 1 species